rnacentral:rRNA from 1 species
UGACAGGUGGUGCAUGGUUGUCGUCAGCUCGUGUCGUGAGAUGUUGGGUUAAGUCCCGCAACGAGCGCAACCCCUAUUGUUAGUUGCCAUCAUUCAGUUGGGCACUCUAGACGAGACUGCCGGUAAUAAACCGGAGGAAGGUGGGAUGACGUCAAAUCAUCAUGCCCCUUAUGACCUGGGCUACACACGUGCUACAAUGGUUGGUACAACGAGUUGCGAGUCGGUGACGGCGAGCUAAUCUCUUAAAGCCAAUCUCAGUUCGGAUUGUAGGCUGCAACCUCGCCUACAUGAAGUCGGAAUCGCUAGUAAUCGCGGAUCAGCAUGCCACGGUGAAUACGUUCCCGGGCCUU